rnacentral:lncRNA from 1 species
GCCAGGGUAGUCCUAGUGAGGAGUCACAGGACUGUUUGAGUUGAGCACAAUUCGGAUGAUCUAAUCAGGGUUGACAGUUUAAUCCUGAGUCAUCCUAAACACAGGGGUCAAAAGGGAUGAAUUAUGCAGUCACCAUAUUCACGUAGGUUCUGAGUAUUGCGAUUGCGACUAUUCGACCUAUCCGGAUGUUGGGUACCAUUGCUAGAUGGUCACUUCGAUUAGUACAGGAAUUGAUUCCUGUGCUACCGACUUAGAUUCGAACCUGCGGGGUCACACACAUUAGAGGUUCCUAUCUGGUCUGAUGGCUGAUGAAGAGUUCUAAUGCUCAUGGACUAUGAGUCCUAUGUGUCUGAAAUUCUAUGAUCGAGAAUCAGGAUUCUCUUAUCAUGAGUCUCACACAUUUUGGGUACCGGGGUCAAGAGUCCCACUGGUUUGGGACUCUUCGAUCAAGGUUUCAUAUCGAUGGACUUUGAUACCCGAUUGCCCAUCGGAUUUGGACUCAGUAUUUAUGAGAGGUUUAAUUAAUGAUUUGAUCACUAAUUAACUCAAUUUGAUUGAGUAAUUAUUUUUGGAUC